rnacentral:tRNA from 1 species
AGGACUAUAGUUAAAUAUAACAUUUAGUUUGCAAUUAAAAAGUGUUCAAAGAACUAGUCUUU